rnacentral:pre_miRNA from 1 species
AGCUGGUCUUUGCUAAAUAUUUGUGUGUGUGUGUAAAUUUCACAUAUUUAGCAUGACUGGCUAG